GUCUCUGGGAGGAGUCAGCUGCAAUGUUGUGAGCAGCUCUGUAGAGAAGCCCAUGUGGUCAAGGCUCAGAAAGCAGGAGAAAAGGUGACAUAAAACCACUCGCCAAAUCAAGAGCGCCAGUUUUAUUCCCUGAUGUCUCUAGUUCACUCAUGCAGUGGACAAACCACUUAGGGUCCAGGGUUUCAUUUCGUUCCUCCCACAAAGUACAGAAAAUCACUGCUAUUGUGUAAUUGCAGCUUAAAUGGGCUUCUGAGGUACACG